rnacentral:rRNA from 1 species
GACGAACGCUGGCGGCGUGCUUAACACAUGCAAGUCGAACGAAGAGCGAUGGAAGCUUGCUUCUAUCAAUCUUAGUGGCGAACGGGUGAGUAACGCGUAAUCAACCUGCCCUUCAGAGGGGGACAACAGUUGGAAACGACUGCUAAUACCGCAUACGAUCUAAUCUCGGCAUCGAGGAUAGAUGAAAGGUGGCCUCUACAUGUAAGCUAUCACUGAAGGAGGGGAUUGCGUCUGAUUAGCUAGUUGGAGGGGUAACGGCCCACCAAGGCGAUGAUCAGUAGCCGGUCUGAGAGGAUGAACGGCCACAUUGGGACUGAGACACGGCCCAGACUCUUACGGGAGGCAGCAGUGGGGAAUCUUCCGCAAUGGACGAAAGUCUGACGGAGCAACGCCGCGUGAGUGAUGACGGCCUUCGGGUUGUAAAGCUCUGUUAAUCGGGACGAAAGGCCUUCUUGCGAAUAGUGAGAAGGAUUGACGGUACCGGAAUAGAAAGCCACGGCUAACUACGUG